rnacentral:lncRNA from 1 species
UAUCUUCAUGAAUUAUCUCAGCUUCCAUCUCCAUUUUCUUGAUCACUAUAUCUUUGUCAAUUUCAAUAACUUCAGUAUUCUCUUCAAAUGGAAAAGGGUAAUCUUGAUCAAUUUGUGGCACAAAGGUCUUGGGUGACUCUACUUUCAUGUCUUGUGUAAGUCUACUUUCAGUAUCCUUCAUUUUUUCUCCUCAAAUGGAAAAGGGUACUCUUGAUCAAUUUGUGGCACAAAGGUCUUGUUACUUGACUUGGGUGACUCUAUUUUCAUGUCUUGUGUAAGUCUACUUUCAGUAUCCUUCAUUUUCUUGAAGAAAACUUGUGACAGUACUUGAUCUGUUUCCAUCAUAGCUGCUGGAGCUUUGAUCUUUUCAG